rnacentral:misc_RNA from 1 species
GAAAUGCGAUAAGUAAUGUGAAUUGCAGAAUUCAGUGAAUCAUCGAAACUUUGAACGCACAUUGCGCCCGCCAGUAUUCUGGCGGGCAUGCCUGUCCGAGCGUCAUUUCAACCAUCAAGCCCCCGGGCUUGUGUUGGGGACCUGCGGCUGCCCGCAGGCCCUGAAAACCAGUGGCGGGCUCGCUGUCACACCGAGCGUAGUAGCAAUCACCUCGCUCAGGGCGUGCUGCGGGUUCCGGCCGUUAAACAGCCUUACAAAACCCAAGGUUGACCUCGGAUCAGGUAGGAAGACCCGCUGAACUUAAGC